CUCUCUUGCCAGUCAGAGGGAGCAGGGGUCCCUGGCCAGGAGGGCUCCUGGGAUGAAGCAGCCGGGGAGAAGAAACAACAGCAGGUGCUGCAUGGACUAGGACAAAGACUGGGGCUUCCUGCAGAAGAGCACCCAUCAUGCCAAACGCUGGGAGUCAACACCAGUGAGUGGGCUAACCCCUGGGGAGACGUUGCAAGGAGGAAUUUAGGAGCCCUGCUGUGGCUUCUGAUAGGACACUGGCCACAUUUCCAAUGCCAGGGCAGAGAAGAGGAAGGUUACAGUGGGAGCAAAGGAAAUCUUGGCACCUUCUCAAAGGGACGCAUUCAGUCACCUGACCCAGAUGGAAGCGACCCCGGCUUACAGCUUUAAGAGCUCACUGAAAGAACAAAGUCUGUUCUCGGCAAAUAUCGGCCUCCCCAGCCCUUUGAUCCCCCGUGGCCGCCGGUGGCCAGCCUACAUCACCUUCACCUCUCCGACGGUCAAGAUGCUUGUGGAGCAAGACAAGC